GGAAGGAUCAUUACUAAAAGUUUUUACAACUUUUUACCAACCCAAAACGCGAACCGUUUUACCGCCCCUGCUAAAAACUCUCUCACUUCUGUGGGUGAAUUUUUUUGGGGGGGCCCACUUUUUAUUCAACCAAUUUACUCUUAUUGUAAACUACAUUUUAGUAUUUUAAUGCAAAAAUACAACUUUCAGCAACGGAUCUCUAGGCUCCUGCAUCGAUGAAGAACGCAGCGAAAUGCGAUAACUAAUGUGAAUUGCAGAACUACGUGAAUCAUCGAGUCUUUGAACGCACAUUGCACCCUGUGGUAUUCCGCAGGGUAUACCUGUUUGAGUGUCAGUAACUAAACUCAAACCCCCACGGGGUUUGGACUUUGAAUGUCUAGUUUUGUCAAAAAGGCGCUAGUCAUUUUAAAGGUAUUGGUGAGCAGUUUUAAACUUUUCGGGUUUCGGUUGCUCUAACUUGACAAGAACUUUACUGUUUCGCGUUAGUUAAACAAUCUUAACUUGGACUAAAACUGAUCUGACCUUACUUUAACAAUACCUGAGUUUAAUUACUCUUGUAACUUGACCUCAAAUCAGGUAGGACUACCCGCUGAACUUAAGCAUAUUAAUAAGCGGAGGAAAAGAAACUAACAAGGAUUCCCCUAGUAACGGCGAGUGAAGCGGGAAUAGCUCAAAUUUGAAAUCUGGGAGGUUUUACCUCUCCGAAUUGUAGUUUGUAGAAGCGUUAUCUGAGGUAGCCGAGGUUUAAGUCCCUUGGAAGAGGGCGUCAUAGAGGGUGAGAAUCCCGUCUAUAGCUUCGUGUUCUACUUCUUUGUGUUACGCUUUCUAAGAGUCGGGUUGUUUGGGAUUGCAGCCCAAAAUGGGUGGUAAAUUUCAUCCAAAGCUAAAUAUUGGCAGGAGACCGAUAGCGAACAAGUACCGUGAGGGAAAGAUGAAAAGAACUUUGAAAAGAGAGUUAAAAGUACGUGAAAUUGCUGAAAGGGAAACGAUUGAAACUAUUGCAUGCCGGCAGAAGAUCAGCUAGUAGAUCUCUGGCGGCGUUAGUUGAGUGAGGUUAAACCACUCGCUGGCGUCGAUUCGGGGAUCAUCUAGUGCACUCUUCUGUUGGUAGAUCAACAUCGGUUUCGACCGCUGGAAAAAGCUUAGAGAAAGGUAGCUUGGGUUUCGGCUCGAGUGUUAUAGUCUCUUUGCCAUACAGCUGUUGGGACCGAGGACCGCUGUGCAUGCUCUUGUGGAUGGGUCUCUACUUGCCAAGUAAGUUGCACCGGCAGACUGCUUGCAGACUGUUGGCGACAAGGUGCUUGCUCUUGUAGUCAGACUACAAAUGCACAAAGGAUGUUGAUGAAAUGGUUUUAAACGACCCGUCUUGAAACACGGACCAAGGAGUCUACCAAAUGCGCGAGUGUUUGGGUGCAAAACCCAUACGCGAAAUGAAAGUAAUGUAGGUGCGAUCCCCUAAAAAGGUGCAGCAUCGGCCGGCCUUGAGGUACUCCGACAGGUCUGAGCAGGAGCGUAUUUGUUAGGACCCGAAAGAUGGUGAACUAUGCCUGAAUAGGGUGAAGCCAGAGGAAACUCUGGUGGAGGCUCGUAGCGAUUCUGACGUGCAAAUCGAUCGUCAAAUUUGGGUAUAGGGGCGAAAGACUAAUCGAACCAUCUAGUAGCUGGUUUCCGC
rnacentral:misc_RNA from 1 species